UACGGGGGGAGCAAACGUUGUUCGGAAUCACUGGGCGUAAAGGGCGUGUAGGCGGCUGAAUAAGUGGGAUGUUAAAUCCCCGGGCUCAACCCGGGACCUGCAUCUCAUACUGUUCAGCUCGAGCACAUCAGAGGAGACUGGAAUUCCCGGUGUAGCGGUGAAAUGCGUAGAUAUCUGGAGGAACACCGGUGGCGAAGGCGGCAUUCUGGACCGAUAUUGACGCUGAGGAGCGAAAGCCAGGGGAGCAAACGGG
rnacentral:rRNA from 1 species